GAUGAAGAACGUAGUGAAAUGCGAUAAGUAAUGUGAAUUGCAGAAUUCAGUGAAUCAUCGAAUCUUUGAACGCACCUUGCGCUCUUUGGUAUUCCGAAGAGCAUGCUUGUUUGAGUGUCAUGAAAAUAUCAACCUUGACUUGGGUUUUGUGCUCUAGUCUCGGCUUGGAAUUGGGUGCUUGCCGCUUUUACGAGCGGCUCACCUUAAAUGUAUUAGCUGGAUCUGUCUUUGAGACUUGGUUUGACUUGGCGUAAUAAGUAUUUCGCUAAGGACAUUCUUCGGAGUGGCCUCGUUUCUAGGACGCUUGUCCGCUUUCCAAUACAAGUUCCACCUCGUGGACAUGACUUUUUAUUAUCUGGCCUCAAAUCAGGUAGGACUACCCGCUGAACUUAAGCAUAUCAAUAAGCGGAGGA
rnacentral:misc_RNA from 1 species